GUAGGUGGCAAGCGUUAUCCGGAAUUAUUGGGCGUAAAGCGCGCGUAGGCGGUAGAAUAAGUCUGAUGUGAAAGCCCCUGGCUCAACCAGGGAGGGUCAUUGGAAACUGUUUUACUUGAGUACAGAAGAGGAGAGUGGAAUUCCAUGUGUAGCGGUGAAAUGCGCAGAGAUAUGGAGGAACACCAGUGGCGAAGGCGGCUCUCUGGUCUGUAACUGACGCUGAGGUGCGAAAGCGUGGGGAUCAAACAGGAUUAGAUACCCUGGUAGUCCACGCCGUAAACGAUGAGUGCUAAGUGUUGGGGGGUUUCCGCCCCUCAGUGCUGCAGCUAACGCAUUAAGCACUCCGCCUGGGGAGUACGACCGCAAGGUUG
rnacentral:rRNA from 1 species